rnacentral:misc_RNA from 1 species
AACGCACAUUGCGCUCCUUGGUAUUCCGGGGAGCAUGCCUGUUUGAGAAUCAGUAAAUUCAUCGAACACGGUUUGGUUUCAUACCUGCUGUGAUCGGAUAUGGGCCUCUUUGCGCCUGGCGCAAUGGCCUGAAAUUCAAUGUCACGGAAUCAUUGGACACCAGUCCGGUUUCAAGCGCAUGAAAGGGUUAGUUCUCUCGAUUACGUCUUGUAGUAUCGUUCUGGUUUUGAAGGACUUUGACUUCUGGGAUUCAACUAUCACUCCAGAUGGCAUUCUUUUAGGGUGCUUUCUGAACACUUGGUCUCAAAUCAGGUAGGAAAACCCGCUGAACUUAA